rnacentral:rRNA from 1 species
UCUGAUGCAGCGACGCCGCGUGAGUGAAGAAGGUCUUCGGAUCGUAAAACUCUGUCCUUGGUGAAGAAAGAAAUGACGGUAGCCAAGGAGGAAGCCCCGGCUAACUACGUGCCAGCAGCCGCGGUAAUACGUAGGGGGCGAGCGUUGUCCGGAUUUACUGGGCGUAAAGGGUGAGUAGGCGGUAAUAUGUGUCAGAUGUAAAAGGCUAAGGCUUAACCAUAGUUAGCAUUUGAAACUGUAUUACUUGAGUGCAGGAGAGGUAAGUGGAAUUCCUAGUGUAGCGGUGAAAUGCGUAGAUAUUAGGAGGAACACCAGUGGCGAAGGCGACUUACUGGACUGUAACUGACGCUGAGUCACGAAAGCGUGGGUAGCAAACAGGAUUAGAUACCCUGGUAGUCCACGCUGUAAACGAUGAGUGCUAGGUGUUGGGUAGCGAUAUUCAGUGCCGAAGUAAACACAAUAAGCACUCCGCCUGGGGAGUACGGUCGCAAGACUGAAACUCAAAGGAAUUGACGGGGACCCGCACAAGCAGCGGAGCAUGUGGUUUAAUUCGAAGCAACGCGAAGAACCUUACCAAGGCUUGACAUCCCCUUGACCGGCACAGAGAUGUGCCCUCUCCUUCGGGAGCAAGGGUGACAGGUGGUGCAUGGUUGUCGUCAGCUCGUGUCGUGAGAUGUUGGGUUAAGUCCCGCAACGAGCGCAACCCUUAUCCUUAGUUGCCAGCAUUAAGAUGGGCACUCUAAGGAGACUGCCGAUGAUAAAUCGGAGGAAGGUGGGGAUGACGUCAAAUCAUCAUGCCCCUUAUGUCUUGGGCUACACACGUGCUACAAUGGUCGGUACAAAGGGCAGCGAAAGAGUGAUCUGGAGCAAAUCCCAAUAAACCGAUCUCAGUUCGGAUUGUAGGCUGCAACUCGCCUACAUGAAGUCGGAGUUGCUAGUAAUCGCGAAUCAGAACGUCGCGGUGAAUGCGUUCCCGGGUCUUGUACACACCGCCCGUCACACCAUGGAGUUGGUAUACCCGAGUCGCUGAGCUACCGCAAGGGG